rnacentral:rRNA from 1 species
UACGUAUGGUGCAAGCGUUAUCCGGAUUUACUGGGUGUAAAGGGAGCGCAGGCGGCGCGUUAAGCCUGGUGUGAAAGCCCGCGGCCCAACCGCGGGACUGCAUUGGGAGCUGGCGCGCUGGAGUGCCGGAGGGGUAGGCGGAAUUCCUAGUGUAGCGGUGAAAUGCGUAGAUAUUAGGAGGAACACCAGUGGCGAAGGCGGCCUACUGGACGGUGACUGACGCUGAGGCUCGAAAGCGUGGGGAGCAAACAGG